UCCUGUGACGCGAGUGGCGGACGGGUGAGUAACACGUAGGCAACCUGCCCAUCAGACCGGGAUAACCACGGGAAACCGUGGCUAAUACCGGAUAAUCCUUUCCCGCACAAGCGGGAGAGUUGAAAGGCGGUCUUUUGGCUGUCACUGGUGGAUGGGCCUGCGGCGCAUUAGCUGGUUGGUGGGGUAACGGCCCACCAAGGCGACGAUGCGUAGCCGACCUGAGAGGGUGAUCGGCCACACUGGGACUGAGACACGGCCCAGACUCCUACGGGAGGCAGCAGUAGGGAAUCUUCCGCAAUGGACGAAAGUCUGACGGAGCAACGCCGCGUGAGUGAAGAAGGGUUUCGGCUCGUAAAACUCUGUUGUCAGGGAAGAACGCCGACGGGAGUAACUGCCCGUCGGGUGACGGUACCUGACCAGAAAGCCACGGCUAACUACGUGCCAGCAGCCGCGGUAAUACGUAGGUGGCAAGCGUUAUCCGGAAUUAUUGGGCGUAAAGCGCGCGUAGGCGGUUCGUUAAGUCUGAUGUGA
rnacentral:rRNA from 1 species